AACAAACAAAGCAAAUCCUUAUAUCUCCUUCGACUCCACGGUGAAAUCAGUUUCCUCGUUCUACCAAAAAUCUGAAAAGAAAAGAGAGAAACAGUGAGUUCAAGACUCCAGUUUUAUUCUGCGGUUGUCUAUCCAACAAAGUUGAGGAGAAACUGACGAUUGAAAUAGAAGCCGAGGAAUUCAUCGAGUUGUUUCUUUUUUCAAAUCUGAAAUUCUCUCCCUGCAACAGAGGGUGACUUUCAUGCACGUCUUUUGAGGUUGGAACAUAAAGUUGAUUGAGGAGUUAGCGAACGAGGUUGAGCGGCGACGAGCAAGUGGUGGUGUUGAGCUUUUAAAAUUGAAGUAUUAUUUGACUUUCUUUGAAAUACGAGUGUCGUUGUGUCUCCACACAUAACGUCACUCUUUCUCUUGAACGCUUACGCUGAGACAUUAUUUUUACUCAUCGUUUAUUUAGCUUUGAACCUAAUUAUUUGAAUAUUUGAAAACUUGAUAUCUUUUGGAUAAUGUCAAAUCCUUGGUCGUUUUUUUAAAUAUUGGUCAAACUCUUUAUUGAAA